GUUUUCACAAGACAGCAGUUUUGACAGAAUGGAUUAACAUCGUUUAGCGAGGCGCCACUGUAUUCUAUUCUCUACUACAUGGACUCUCCAGUUAAGACGCAGAGUGCCCAUUGAUGUGUUUCAAAUUUACAAGACAAUAAUGUAGGAAGAUAUACUGAGGGUAUGUCUAAAGAAGGUGCGGAGAUACAAGGGUAGCUGCCUGAAUAUACUACAAGCUCUGUAGCCAAGCAGGCUAAGAAGAAUCUAGGUUCCCAUUGUUUAUUGUCUGCCAUUCUAAAAACAAACAAAAAACCCCACAGGUAUUUCUGCUUAUUAAGAUAUUCAGAAGUUUUUUUGAAUAUAUAUGCCAAAUGAAUUUGGUAGAUCAAAAUUAAACUUUUUUUAGGCCCUGAAAUUCCAGGCCCUGAAUUUUUUUUUCAAAUUGGCUUAUUUUCCCAGAAAAUCAAUUUACUGAUUUUCUUCAUAAAAGGGCCAGAAUGUGGGUAUUAAGCCAUAUCUGCUGUAAGGGAUUCUGAGUUGCUUUUUCUUCAGUCCUUCAUUGCUCCUAUUCUCCAGCCGGUUCUUUCCAAGCUGGGUUGCAAUCUAACCCUUUAUUUCCAUUCACCUUUGAGCCACUGGUUUUAGACGAAUUAACACUGCCUUUCCAAACACUACGGUUGCUAUAUUGCCCUCUCUGGGAGGUGUAAUAUAAGGUCUGUUCUACCCACCCACCCAGUCAGUUUUUCACACGGUUAAACAAGUGCCAACUGGUUUCAAUCUCUGAACUAGCCUUCUUAAAUUUUACAAACCCUGGAGUUCAAAGACCUAUAAUCAAUCAGCAUAAGACAUGGUAAUAAACUUGAUGACUGAAUACAAGAUCUGAUCUACGGGAGUGGGUAACAAAAAGUAUGGAAGGGCAUUUUGAACUUUCUAGGAGGCCUUAAUAAACCUAGAAAGUUUCCUGCA